GACGAACGCUGGCGGCGUGCCUAACACAUGCAAGUCGAACGGAAAGGCCCUGCUUUUGUGGGGUGCACGAGUGGCGAACGGGUGAGUAACACGUGAGUAACCUGCCCUUGACUUUGGGAUAACUUCAGGAAACUGGGGCUAAUACCGGAUAGGAGCUCCUGCUGCAUGGUGUUGAUUGGAAAGUUUCGGCGGUUUGGGAUGGACUCGCGGCUUCUGAGCUUGAUGGGGAGGUUGGUGCUUUCCAGGGCUUUGACGGGUAGCCGGCCUUGGAGGGGGACCAGGCACAAGGCGACUAAGGUACGGCCCAGACGGCAACGUGAGGCAGCAGUCGGAAACAUGGCGCAAUAGGCGGAAGCCUGUUACAACGACGUCGCGUGCGGGAUGACGGCCUUCUGGUUAUAAACCGCUUUCGACUGUAACGAAGCCUGAGUGACGGUACUGGGUAAGAAAGCAACGGCUAACUACGUG
rnacentral:rRNA from 1 species